rnacentral:rRNA from 1 species
UACAGAGGUCUCAAGCGUUGUUCGGAUUCAUUGGGCGUAAAGGGUGCGUAGGUGGCGCCGUAAGUCAGGUGUGAAAUCUCGGGGCUCAACCCCGAAACUGCACUUGAUACUGCGGUGCUCGAGUACUGGAGAGGAGAUUGGAAUUUACGGUGUAGCAGUGAAAUGCGUAGAUAUCGUAAGGAAGACCAGUGGCGAAGGCGGCUCUCUGGGCCUUACCUGACGCUGAGGAGCGAAAGCGUGGGUAGCGAACAGG